rnacentral:rRNA from 1 species
GGAGGGUGCAAGCGUUAAUCGGAAUUACUGGGCGUAAAGCGCGCGUAGGCGGUUUAGUAAGUCGGAUGUGAAAGCCCUGGGCUCAACCUGGGAAUUGCAUUCGAUACUGCUGAACUAGAGUAUGGUAGAGGGAAGUGGAAUUUCCGGUGUAGCGGUGAAAUGCGUAGAUAUCGGAAGGAACACCAGUGGCGAAGGCGACUUCCUGGGCCAAUACUGACGCUGAGGUGCGAAAGCGUGGGGAGCAAACAGGGAUUAGAUACCCUGGUAGUCCACGCCGUAAACGAUGAGAACUAGAUGUUGGGAGGGUUACCUUUCGGUGUCGCAGCUAACGCGUUAAGUUCUCCGCCUGGGGAGUACGCCGGCAACGGUA